rnacentral:lncRNA from 1 species
CGAAAAUUACACUGGGGUACCGGUACUCCCCUGCGUGGUACCGGUACUCAAUUCUGAAAACCUGCACUUUGCAGAUUUCAAUGCCAAAACUCUGUUCUCGCGUCGCGCUGAGUCCGUUUUGCAUCCAUUUCGCGCCAAAACGAUUCGGACUUAUCCCAACACUCUCCAGAUAUGUCGACAAGUCUCAGAUGCUGAAAUCUCACGACUGCAGAACACCAGGGAUGUUACAGUUCUUCAACUUUAUUAAAUAUUUUCUCAUUUUAUUCUUUUUUGUUUGAUUUGAUAUUACUAAUUUUGUAAGGUUAUCUAUAAUAUUUCUAAUAUUUUCAGGGGUACGAAUGAAAUUAUCCCAUACUAAUUAUUCUAAAUACAACCGUAUGUCUAAGGGAUUGAGAAAUAAUAUAUGGUGCAAUAAGUACAUUAAAAAAUUUUAGUUGGCAUGGUAGUCCCCCAUUAGUUAGUAAAAUAAUUUUUAGUAGGUAUCGUAGUCUCCCAGUAGUUAGUGAAUGAGAAGGGAAAUCAUUACUUGUGAUUCUCGUAAAUUAACUUUCGUCAAAUAUAAAAUUAACUUAAGCUGUAUCAAUCUUUUUUUUAUUUUUUAAUAUACAAUUUAUAUCUGAAUGCUCAAUAUUAUAAAAUUAACAUUUAUAUCUAAUACCAAUAGUCUAAAUUAUUUAACAUUUAUUUAUAUAUUUUACAUUUUAUAAAAAUAAAUAGUAAAUUAUAUAAUAAAUUAUUAUAUAAUAAUAUAUCUAUAUAAAAAUAAAAUACUACUUAUAAUAAAUAAAUAUAUAUUUAUAAAUAAAAUUAUAUAUAUAUAUAGAAUUAGGCUAAAAUACUAUCUAUAAUAUUGGAGCUCCGGUACUAUAGUCUUGUUUUCGAUCUUAGUGUGUUCAAAUUAACGAUCCACACCGUUAAAUAUGAUUUAGGGUGUAUGAAGUUUUUAGAAAUAAAAUUUUAGGCUUUUUUUGACAUCCUUUACUUAGUAAAUAAAUUAUAUCAAAAUGGACGGUGGAAAUUGAAUAAACUUUAAAAUUUGAGCAUAGGACUUUUAAAUUUAAGAU